GAUUCGUCACACUAUCAUUAACUGAAUCCAUAGGUUAAUGAGGCGAACCGGGGGAACUGAAACAUCUAAGUACCCCGAGGAAAAGAAAUCAACCGAGAUUCCCCCAGUAGCGGCGAGCGAACGGGGAGGAGCCCAGAGCCUGAAUCAGCAUGUGUGUUAGUGGAAGCGUCUGGAAAGGCGCGCGAUACAGGGUGACAGCCCCGUACACAAAAGCGCAUGUGCUGUGAGCUCGAUGAGUAGGGCGGGACACGUGGUAUCCUGUCUGAAUAUGGGGGGACCAUCCUCCAAGGCUAAAUACUCCUGACUGACCGAUAGUGAACCAGUACCGUGAGGGAAAGGCGAAAAGAACCCCGGCGAGGGGAGUGAAAAAGAACCUGAAACCGUGUACGUACAAGCAGUGGGAGCACCCUUCGGGGUGUGACUGCGUACCUUUUGUAUAAUGGGUCAGCGACUUAUAUUCUGUAGCAAGGUUAACCGUAUAGGGGAGCCGGAGGGAAACCGAGUCUUAAUUGGGCGUUAAGUUGCAGGGUAUAGACCCGAAACCCGGUGAUCUAGCCAUGGGCAGGUUGAAGGUUGGGUAACACUAACUGGAGGACCGAACCGACUAAUGUUGAAAAAUUAGCGGAUGACCUGUGGCUGGGGGUGAAAGGCCAAUCAAACCGGGAGAUAGCUGGUUCUCCCCGAAAGCUAUUUAGGUAGCGCCUCGUGAAUUCAUCUCCGGGGGUAGAGCACUGUUUCGGCUAGGGGGCCAUCCCGGCUUACCAACCCGAUGCAAACUGCGAAUACCGGAGAAUGUUAUCACGGGAGACACACGGCGGGUGCUAACGUCCGUCGUGAAGAGGGAAACAACCCAGACCGCCAGCUAAGGUCCCAAAGUCAUGGUUAAGUGGGAAACGAUGUGGGAAGGCCCAGACAGCCAGGAUGUUGGCUUAGAAGCAGCCAUCAUUUAAAGAAAGCGUAAUAGCUCACUGGUCGAGUCGGCCUGCGCGGAAGAUGUAACGGGGCUAAACCAUGCACCGAAGCUGCGGCAGCGAACGUAUCACCCAAGACAACUUUACGGAGUUGACGAUUGACGGAGCGAAGCGACGUCAAAGCGUUCAUUAAAGUCGAGUUGGCUUAGGGAUACGUUCGUUGGGUAGGGGAGCGUUCUGUAAGCCUGUGAAGGUGUGUCGUGAGGCAUGCUGGAGGUAUCAGAAGUGCGAAUGCUGACAUAAGUAACGAUAAAGCGGGUGAAAAGCCCGCUCGCCGGAAGACCAAGGGUUCCUGUCCAACGUUAAUCGGGGCAGGGUGAGUCGACCCCUAAGGCGAGGCCGAAAGGCGUAGUCGAUGGGAAACGGGUUAAUAUUCCCGUACUUGGUGUUACUGCGAAGGGGGGACGGAGAAGGCUAUGUUGGCCGGGCGACGGUUGUCCCGGUUUAAGCGUGUAGGUGUGUGUUCCAGGUAAAUCCGGUUCACUUUAACACUGAGGCGUGACGACGAGGCACUACGGUGCUGAAGCAACAAAUGCCCUGCUUCCAGGAAAAGCCUCUAAGCAUCAGGUAACAU
rnacentral:rRNA from 1 species